CCUCUCUGUACUUGUGUUGCAGUCUCUCCUGCUGAGCUUCCUUUUGAAGGUUGUGCAGGACCUGAUUCUGAUUGAACUUGUUUCCUGUUCCAACGAAAGAAACAGGAUGUUCCAAAGUGACUCCACUAGUGAAGAAGAUGCUUCUAUGUACCCAUCCCUGUCUGACAGUGAAUGUUAUAUAUAUAUAAUUCGUGAAAAAGAUACAAAUUAUUACAAAGUGGGGCGCACAAAAAAUCCCCAAGAUCGCCUUUCUAACCUUAACACCGGGAAUCCUCGUCGUCUAAUAUUCAAACGUAUUAAGAAGGUAAAUGAUACCAGAUGGGAGAAGUAUGUUCAGGAGAAGCUGAAGCAGUAUGGCAGUAGACUAGGUGGUGGAAAAGAAUGGUUUCAAAUCCCAAAAGAAUCCAAGCAAGUUAUUUAUGAUGUGUUGAAUGAAGUACCCUCCUCAUUCAUUUCUGAAUUGUCUGUUGGUGAGGAGUAAAACACAUAAGCUGGUCUUUUAUACUUCAGCAUCACAAUUGGUUUAUUAUUAAUGCUGAAUAACAUAAUUAGUGAGACCAGAUUCAGUGCAACUUUGUCUUUCUGAUGCAUUAUAUUAUCAAGAUGAACUAAACAAAGUUAUAUGCAUUUCCUUACCUAUCAUUAGCAUUAGCAAUAUUAUUACAAAAAUUAUACACAUUUUAUUACCUGUUAUUAGCAUUAGCAAUAUUAUUAUUAUUAUUAUUAUUAUUAUGAGCAAUAGCAAUAUUAUUCCAAUAUGCAGUUGUGAAACGGUUAUUAUAAAAUGAAGUGCUCUGAUUGGCUGAAGAUGAUUCCAAUAUGCAGUUGUUGUCAAACAGUUUUUUUUUUCAUGUAAACUAGUAUCCCAUCAUUACACAUUCUACUUCAAUUACUAGAGUAAUUUCUCCCAUAUUCAUGACACAUGUCUGUGACUAGUUAUUGGAAUAACAGCUACUGAAAUGUCAACAAGCAACAUCAAGCUAUGUUGGCUAGCUUCAGUUAUAUGAUUAAUCACGUUGUAUGUUUCUAUGGAAGUUAAUUAAAAUACUAAAAUUGUCUCUUAUUUGUCAGAAGAUUGAAUAUUCUCUGUGCCUGUUUAAGUUUGUGAUGUUAAUAAACAGGAACCUUAUUUCACUUUGUGUUACAACUUGACUGUGAACUUCAUUAAAAAAACAGGAGUUACUUCUUCACACAGAA